AGCGGCAGGGUAGAGCGGCAUUGUGCUGGCGCGCUCCCUGAGCCGCCAUCUCGGUUGUGGGCAGGAGCUGUGGGGCUGGCUGUUUUGAGUUUUCACUGUCUUUGGGUUCCGCUUCUGUUUUUGCUGCAGUUAUCUGUCUAUUGGCUGAAAUUCAUCAGCUAUGCUGCGUUGCUUUUCCUCUGCUCUGCGACUUUUAUUUAGUGAGAUGGUCAUAAAAUCCCCUAAACAGGCAUCAGAUGUCUAGGUCCAGUUUUCUCUUGUGUGGCCUUGCUGUGUGAGGGCAUGCUGAGAACGUGGCUGCUUCUGGGGCAGGAGCGCGCUGGGAACUGGAUGGCAGCACAGGGGAGUGGAAGGGCAAUUUUUAAGGAAAAUGAAGUAGUGUGUGUAAAUCCCCUAGAGAGUAAUGUUUUUUAAGGUGAACAUAAACAGCUGCAGUGCUCUUGCCUGAACUAACCUCCCUAGAACAGAACUUCCUGAACUAAUGCAUGACACAUUGAGGCAUUGCUGUUUUCCACGAUAACAAAUAAGAAUUGGAUCCUGAAGCCCUCUGGUGGAUGUGCUGCAGAAGGCAGACAUCUGAGAAGUGGUGUCUGGUUGGAACACAUUGAGGAAAGGUGAGGAAAGGUCCAUAAAGGGACGAGGAUGCAUGCUUGGAGCUGCUCUGUUAAUCUAACCAACUUGAAAAGAGCAUUAAAAAGAUGAAACUAAAAAGCCCUGAAGAGAUGGAGGCUUUUGUUCUUCAGAAGGCCCUUGAUGUUAUAUUGGAUGGUGAUGUACUUAAGCUAGUGGAAAAAAAGUAAUUCCAAAGUUGGUGGUGGUUAUAGCAAAAAGUCAAGAAGGAGCUGCCCGAGUAAAAAUGUCAGAUGGUCCCACAGCUUGGAGGGGCUUUUAGACAACUAAGCAUUUGGCACGGUGACCUGUGUGCAGUUGUUCUAAGUCAGGCAGCUUUUCUGAGCUUCUUGUAGGUGUACCUAGUCAGAACUCAGUAACUGGCUAAUUCUUAGUCAUUGCAUAUGACUUCACAAAAUAGUUUUGACAAGUAUAAUGCAGGUCUUUCUUAGUAGUUUUGUUAUCGUGGACAACAGUCCGUUAACAAUGGAUGUUAUAUUGUUCUGAAGCAACUGACCUUUGCAGCGUCGCGUCUGUUGUGACUCCUUGCCUUUUAUCUGUGUAUGCAGGCCCUCCUGCCAUGGCAGGCUUUCUGUCUCCAGAAUGCUUCUCAGUCCUGUGCCAAGGUGGAUAUUGGACACUUUGCCAGGCCGGGCUGAACUGGUUCAAAUUUCAUUUACUGAAAGCUUACUGGUUUGCCACAUGUAUUGUAGAUAAAAUAUUGACAGGAUCUGUUCUUCUGUUGCAUUCAUAUGUGAAAGUCAUUUUUGUGUUCUCUUUCUUGUAGCAGCUUGUUGAGCCAGAAUCCAAGUGUGAAGGCUUUCCCUAACUUAGAGUGAUUUUAAGAACUGGAAAAUGUUAAUACUUAACUAGCUGUGUUUGAACAUAUAUAUGAAUUUGCAUAAUAAAAGCCUGAUCUUUGCUGUUGGCGGAGCUAAAACACGGGGAGGAUUAGAACAUGAUUUAAGCACUCUGUCUCCAAUUUGUUUUGUUCAGGUGUAGUAGGAAAAAUCUACUUCUGUACUGAAAAGAGCUCAGGACUUUCAGGUUGUGAUCCCUGUUUUUGGGCAUUAUCCUCCUGUCACAGAUGGACAAAGUGAGGCUAGCUGCACUUUACCUUUUUUGGCAUUUCAAGAUCUGCUACUGAAAAGUGAAUUAAAAAGCUCCACACUUCCUGUAUAAUUAUGU